GAACGUGAUCUGAUUGCCACAUCUUUCAUGCCAUUGAUCACUAGGGUUGACUUAUUUGGCUAGACAGGUUGAUGUUCCCUUCUUCUUUUUUGCUUCAAAUGAAUUCCUCAUAAAUGUUGAUAAGAGACAGGACUCUUUGAUAAAAGAUAUAUGAAUAGUUGGACUCCCCUGUAAGGACCUCCAAGUACAUGCAGAUAAAUGACCAUAAAAGGUAGGUGGCGGGGAGGGAGGGAAGGGGGGAAGGAGAUCUUGCCCAAGAGAU
rnacentral:snRNA from 1 species